rnacentral:rRNA from 1 species
AAUGAACGCUGGCGGCAGGCCUAAAACAUGCAAGUCGAACGCCCUAGCAAUAGGGAGUGGCGCACGGGUGAGUAACAUGUGGGAAUAUGCCUUUUGGUACGGAACAACGUUUGGAAACGAACGCUAAUACCGUAUGGUCCCUCCGGGGUAGAGAUUUAUCGCCAAAAGAUUAGCCCGCACUAGAUUAGCUAGUUGGUAAGGUAAUGGCUUACCAAGGCGACGAUCUAUAGCUGUUCUGAGAGGAAGAUCAGCCACACUGGGACUGAGACACGGCCCAGACUCCUACGGGAGGCAGCAGUUAGGAAUAUUGGACAAUGGGCGCAAGCCUGAUCCAGCCAUGCCGCGUGUGUGAAGAAGGCCUUUUGGUUGUAAAGCACUUUAAGCGAGGAGGAGGCUCUUAAGGUUAAUACCCUUGAUGAGUGGACGUUACUCGCAGAAUAAGCACCGGCUAACUCUGUGCCAGCAGCCGCCGUAAGAC